rnacentral:rRNA from 1 species
UGGCUCAGAACGAACGCUGGCGGCAGGCCUAACACAUGCAAGUCGAACGGGAUCUUCGGAUCUAGUGGCGGACGGGUGAGUAACGCGUGGGAACGUGCCCUCUGGUUCGGAAUAGCCCUGGGAAACUGGGAGUAAUACCGGAUACGGUCGAGAGACGAAAGAUUUAUCGCCGGAGGAUCGGCCCGCGUUGGAUUAGGUAGUUGGUGGGGUAAUGGCCUACCAAGCCGACGAUCCAUAGCUGGUUUGAGAGGAUGAUCAGCCACACUGGGACUGAGACACGGCCCAGACUCCUACGGGAGGCAGCAGUGGGGAAUCUUAGACAAUGGGGGAAACCCUGAUCUAGCCAUGCCGCGUGAGCGAUGAAGGCCUUAGGGUUGUAAAGCUCUUUCAGUGGGGGAAGAUAAUGACGGGUACCCACAGAAGAAGCCCCCGGGCUAACUCCGUGCCCAGCCGCCGCCGUAAG